AUGGGGUGUAGUAAUUUUUAGGGGACCGUCCCAAUUUAAGUGUUGUUUAUGGGGAGUAGUAAUUUUUAAGGUGACAUGUGAGACAUACAUUAUUUCCUACUAACUUGCUUUUUUAAGUUUUGAAUAUUCAAGUUUGAAAAUCUUAAUUCAAAGGAUAUAUAUAAAAAUAUGUGAAAUAUGUUGUUUAAAAAAGAAAAGUGGACAAUUAUUUUAAGACAGACAAAAAAAGAAUGACACUUAUUUUGAAACAGAGGGAGUAUAUAAAAGAGGAAAGGUAAAGUGCAAAAAAAAGCCAACCACAUAAAAGUGUGCAAAAAUAAAAAUAAAAAUAAAAAUAAAUAAAUAAAACCACUCAUACUAUUUUAGUGGGUGCAUAUAAAUUGUCAACAUUUUAAAAUAUGUGCAAAUAGCUUCUUAAUAUCUCGGUCAAUUUUAAGCAGCUUUUUAUAUAUAUAAAAACUUCAAAAUGUCAUUAAUAAUCACUCUCUAAUCAUGAAAUCAUUGUUUGGCUGUUGGACACCAAACAGCCAAACGGCCACAAAUGGAUAAUUCACACCGAAUAAUACAUAGUAUGACGUUACUGGGUUUUGAGAAGCCUACUGGUUUCGUCUGUGUAGAUGAAUUCCACCUUCUCUCGCUAAAAACACAUUCUCUCUCUACAAAUUUUCUACAUUUUUUUUGCUUCUUUGGCUUCUCUUGUCCUACAACUCACACAUAUAUUCUUUCUCGUCCUACAAUUCACAAGUUGAAGUUGAAAUCAUCAAUGGAAGAUUCGGGAAGGAAGAAGAAUAGGGUGGUGGUGAUUGGAGGGGGAGUUGCGGGCUCUCUUAUUGUUGUUCUCAUCGAUUUGUGGGUGGAGGCAUUUUGAGAACGAAUUAUGCUGUUGCAAUCGGCAAGAACGACAAUGUUUGGAAAAUUAGAAGCGAGUCAAUGUGAUUAGGCGCAAUUCUAUAUCCUUUUUCAAUAUUUUUGUUUGCUACACCAAUAUAAUACAAUGUAGAACUAAAAGAGUUGAAAGUUAUUGAUUCUGUACAGCAUUUAGUGAUUUUGUAAAACCUGACACUCAGUAACAGGAGAAAAUAUUGAUUCCCAGAAUUAUUAUACA